GCUUUACAUUCUUCCACACGGCAGUGACGGCACAUGAACGCAACACAAACAAACCUGGAGGAGAGUGAACGUGACAAUUCUGAUUAGGAGAAGGACUCCCACGACCACCGAAGACAAAGUGCUGUGCUGCAUGUCUCUGUUCGGGAGCCCCAGAGGUCAUCUCCCUCUGUGUCAUCACAACCUCAGCCUCCUCACAGCUCCUGGCCCCAACGCGGCGACCCCACGCAGAGAGUUAGCAGGCAGCCAACCUUCUGUCAUCGGCGUGUCGCUGUGGGCCAGCUCCUGUACCUGUUCACCCCUGGUGAGGUGUUCAGCACUCUAGGGCCCGCUGCACCGAGGGACUCCGCCUGUGGAAGCCCUGCUCCCACACACACCUGAAGAGCUGCUUCUUAUCCAGUGUAUUCGCAGUGUAUGGCCGUCACAGGCAGCCUAAAGCGUCUUAUCUGGCUGGAAUGGACGUUUAUUGAAGACAUUGUUUAUACGAGGUAGGCAACGUCUCUGGGCUCGGUCCGAUUGGAACCCCGGUGAUCACCAGGGAUGUGUCCAGUGUUUUGACCACACAAAGUAAGAUCAGGUCAUAUACAAAAAUUGGAAUCCAAAAUAAAGAGGCCGCAAAUUGUUUGGUUCAACAUACGUGUUCUAAUACAAUGCAGCGUUUGGG
ensembl:lncRNA